CCGCAUAACAUUGCGAUGUCGCAUGGCAAUGCAAUCAAAGGAGCAAUCCGCUGAGAGAUGGGCUCGCGUCCGAUUAGAUAGUUGGUGAGGUAACGGCUCACCAAGUCGACGAUCGGUAGCCGGACUGAGAGGUUGAACGGCCACAUUGGGACUGAGACACGGCCCAGACUCCUACGGGAGGCAGCAGUGGGGAAUAUUGCACAAUGGGCGAAAGCCUGAUGCAGCAACGCCGCGUGAGGGAAGACGGUUUUCGGAUUGUAAACCUCUGUUUUCGGUGACGAAGAAUGACGGUAACCGAGUAGGAAGCCACGGCUAACUACGUGCCAGCAGCCGCGGUAAUACGUAGGUGGCAAGCGUUAUCCGGAAUUACUGGGUGUAAAAGGGAGCGCAGGCGGGAUAGCAAGUCAGCGGUGAAAAUUAUGGGCUCAACCCAUAAACUGCCGUUGAAACUGUUAUUCUUGAGUGGAGUAGAGGCAAGCGGAAUUCCGAGUGUAGCGGUGAAAUGCGUAGAUAUUCGGAGGAACACCAGUUGGCGAAGGCGGCUUGCUGGGCUCUAACUGACGCUGAGGCUCGAAAGUGUGGGAGCAAACAGGAUUAGAUACCCCUGGUAGUCCACACUGUAAACCGAUGAUUGCUAAGGUGUGGGGGGUCUGACCCCCUCCGUGCCCGGAGUUAACGCAAUUAAGCAAUCCACCUGGGGAGUACGGCCCGCAAGGUUGAAACUCCAAAGGAAUUGACCGGGACCCCGCACA
rnacentral:rRNA from 1 species